rnacentral:rRNA from 1 species
UACAGAGGGUGCGAGCGUUAAUCGGAAUUACUGGGCGUAAAGGGCCAGUAGGCGGCCAACUAAGUCGGAUGUGAAAUCCCCAGGCUUAACCUGGGAACUGCAUCCGAUACUGGAUGGCUUGAAUUCGGGAGAGGGAUGCAGAAUUCCAGGUGUAGCGGUGAAAUGCGUAGAUAUCUGGAGGAAUACCGGUGGCGAAGGCGGCAUCCUGGACCGACAUUGACGCUGAACGGCGAAAGCUAGGGGAGCAAACGGG